UCCAGAAAGGAAAAUUCGUACGAACCAGAAACUUUUUAGUUAAAUUUUCCAGUGAUUUCCCAUUAUCCUUCUUAGCUACGAGUCUCUUUUAAUUUUGAAGUGAAUUCAUUCACCACCAAACACCCAGCUUCCUUUCUCAGCUCAACCAUCUUCUUCCGGACACUGAUGGGAACUCCUUACCCAAACCCCAUUUCUCCUUCCCAAACCCGCAUAGGCUGGAUUGGCAUAGGCGUCAUGGGAGCUGCCAUGGCCUCCCGCAUUCUCUCAGCCGGCUACUCCCUCACCAUCUACGCUCGCACUCCUUCAAAAGCUCAUCCCCUCCAAUCCCAAGGUGCCCAACUCGCCGAUUCCCCAUUUCAACUCGCUCAACUCAGCGACGUCGUCUUCACAAUGGUGGGACACCCAUCAGAUGUUCGAUCAAAUGUCCUCGACCCAGAAACCGGCCUUCUCUGGGGCCUCCGCCCAAACUCGGUCUCCGUCGACAUGACAAGCAGUGAUCCAGCCCUUGCCCGCGAGAUUUUCAAUGCUGCGCGCGCCAAAGAUUGCUGGACUGUCGAUGCGCCAGUGUCUGGGGGUGACAUUGGCGCUAGAGAAGGCAAACUCGCCAUACUUGCCGGCGGUGAUGCUUCCGUGGUCGAGUGGUUGGCUCCAUUGUUUGAUGUUUUGGGGAAGGUUACUUACGUGGGUCCUGCGGGCUCCGGCCAAAACUGCAAGAUUGCGAACCAGAUUGUGGUGGGGGGGAAUUUGCUGGGGUUGAGCGAAGGGUUGGUGUUUGCCCAGCGGGCCGGGUUGGAUGUGCGGCAGUUUAUGGAGGCAGUGAGGGGCGGGGCGGCCGGGUCGAUGGUGAUGGAGUUGUUUGGGGAAAGGAUUAUAGGGAGGGACUUCAGGCCUGGUGGGUUUGCUGAGUAUAUGGUGAAGGAUUUGGGGAUGGGUGUGGAUGUUGUGGAGGAGAAUGAGGAAGGGAGGGUGGCGGUGCUGCCUGGUGCUGCAUUGUGCAAGCAGUUGUUUUCUGCCAUGGUGGCUAAUGGGGAUGGGAAGCUUGGCGGUCAAGGUCUUAUCACUGUCAUAGAGAGGCUCAAUGGAAAGUGAGAUGAAAUGGUUAGCUCAAUUUGAAAGAGAAUCUCAGAGUCCGGUAAAUAUUUAGCGGCAUCUGUGAAAAUUCAUCAAAACUCUUAGAGUCAUCGCACAUUUUGGACAUGAUCCGUUGUAAAACAAAGAGGUUUCAUUUUAGGCAAUUAGAAGAUCAUCCACUCCUUCUAUCUUCUACUGAGAGAUUUAACCAUUGCAUUAAGAAAAUGGUUGCCAUGGCUGAAAGGGAGGAGGCCCAAGAAAAGAUAUACAACAAGAAAGUUGACUUCAAUAGAGUCAUUGAGGAAGGAUGGGUUUUUCGUGAUGCUCUCAAAGAAAGACAUUAUCGCCAAAACGUUUAGGGAGCAUUUGAAUAUGCUCACUACGUGUGUCUCAACAUUAAUUGUGAUUUGCAAGAGGGAGGAGACAAAUAUAAAAAUACAAAGCCUUUGACCCCAUACGAAAUACAGAAAAAGCUUAAUUGGUUCUUCCCAACCCUGCUGAUAGACGUAUAUGCUUUAUUUGACUGAGGUAGAUGCCCUCACGGACCUUGGGAGGUAUAAAAUUGUCUGAGAGAAGAAAGAAAAAGAAGAUGCAGACGAAAAAGAAGUUGAAGGCGAGGACGAAGAAGAAGAGGAAGAUAAGGGCAAGGAUGAAGUUGCUGCAUAGCGUCUUUUAAUUUUUCUUUUUUUGGUCCUGCUUGAAAACGAUUUUCCUAAGUAGCUAGAGUUAUAAUGAGUGAUAUUAUAGCAAGAGUUAUGUAUGUUUUAUUCUAGGUUCUAAUAAUCUCGAUGUUUAAAUUUGAAAAAUGAUUACCAAAAUGUGCAGUUUUUGCAUGCUUAUUAUCUGAAUUAUUUGCAUUCGUAAAGGUGGGAGAGGUGGAACUGUAAAAGUUAGGCUGACCGGCCACCACCGUCUCUGGUUGAUGUUCUUGUCUCGGAUGCCCUCCGGCUGGCGCUGUGUGAUUGAAUGAAGGGUGAAGGAAGCGAUGGCUGCUGUUUUUGUAGUUUAGUUUGAACUUUCU